rnacentral:lncRNA from 1 species
GUGCGCUUCCGAUCUGUUAACAUAUUUUAAGUCUAUUAAAAGUAGCUUAAAAUGUACAUUGAUAACCGUUUCAUGGUUUAUCUAGCCAACCAAGUGGGCUGAAGGCACACCUUAAACUGUGC